rnacentral:rRNA from 1 species
UACGUAGGGAGCAAGCGUUGUCCGGAAUCAUUGGGCGUAAAGCGCGCGUAGGUGGCCCCAUAAGUCCGCUGUGAAAGUCAAAGGCUCAACCUUUGAAAGCCGGUGGAUACUGUGGGACUAGAGUACGGAAGAGGCGAGUGGAAUUCCUGGUGUAGCGGUGGAAUGCGCAGAUAUCAGGAGGAACACCAAUAGCGAAGGCAGCUCGCUGGGACGUUACUGACACUGAGGCGCGAAAGCCGUGGGGAGCGAACAGG